rnacentral:lncRNA from 1 species
GCUUCUAAAUUAGCUGCCUCAAGAAGGAGACCUAACUAUGAUCUCUACAUGAAGACCAAAGAGGACAGUGAUGUCUAUGAAGCUGGGACUGAUGGGCUUCCGCUGACCAACCUUUCCCAACAUCUGGCUCUGAUUUCAGCAUGAUGGCAUCGGGAGCCUCGUCACACCGUGUCCAUCGUGGUCCCCUAACACAGUACACGAGACUCGAGGAAAACCAUGGCUUUCCACGUGGGCCACACGUGGCGUGGCUCACACAGAGGACAUGCAGACGUGUUUCCUGGGUGCUGCCAUCAGCCCACGCUCCUCAGUCUUCUCCUGCGCCCUGAAAGCAUCUGUCAGACUCCCCCACUGUGGCACAGCGGCCGUCGGCAGCUGAAGUCUCUGCUGGUAAACUGCUACAUCAAACCCAGCUGCAACUGUAAUAUCAUCCCUCUUCUACCAUUUUCUCUUUAUUAGCCAGGAUCAUUAAAACCAAAACAAAUUGGUAGUACGUUUUCAUUGAUAAAUAUAUUUAAGUUCGUCUUAGCAUCCAAAACACUGAUUAAGCUUGAUAGAGUUUUGUACCUCAGAGCUUAAUUUUACUAAACAUUGAUAUAACAACAUUGAAAUAUAAUGUCAUUUCUUUGCUAAGACAACCAAGUGUUCCCACCCACAGUUAAUUGCAUUGUGGUGGUGUCUGGUUUUGUUCUUUUUUUUUUUUUUAACAGAAGUGGUAAAAAUACGCAGGCUUGACUGACAUGACCUUGUGCUUUUCAUGUCACCAGCUGAUAAUCCUAGGACAGUUGCAGGCAUUUUCCCAUGUCUUGUCAACAGCCAGAGGGACAAGGAUUCCUGGCUGGAGAGCACAGGCCUGGGUUUCCUGCUGGUAGGGAGGCAGGAGCCUCAUUGAGAUGCAGUGAUUUUCCCGGGCUGUGGUGCCUGAGCGAUGCUGCUGCAGCUCCUCGGCUGUUCGUGCUUUGAGAGCACCUGCCUUGGGAGGCACCACCUUGUUCAGCUAUCUGCCAAC